AUUAAACGCUGGCGGCAUGCCUUACACAUGCAGGUCGAACGGCAGCACGGGGGCAACCCUGGUGGCGAGUGACGGACGGGUGAGUAAAGCAUCGGAACGUAUCCUGGAGUGGGGGAUAACGUAGCGAAAGUUACGCUAAUACCGCAUAUUCUGUGAGCAGGAAAGCAGGGGAUCGCAAGACCUUGCGCUCUGGGAGCGGCCGAUGUCGGAUUAGCUAGUUGGUGGGGUAAAGGCCUACCAAGGCGACGAUCCGUAGCGGGUCUGAGAGGAUGAUCCGCCACACUGGGACUGAGACACGGCCCAGACUCCUACGGGAGGCAGCAGUGGGGGAAUUUUGGACAAUGGGCGCAAGCCUGAUCCAGCAAUGCCGCGUGAGUGAAGAAGGCCUUCGGGUUGGUUAAAGGACGUCUUUCUAGCAGGAAGAAGCGAAAGUGACGGUACC
rnacentral:rRNA from 1 species